rnacentral:rRNA from 1 species
GCAAGGUUAAAACUCAAAUGAAUUGACGGGGGCCCGCACAAGCGGUGGAGCAUGUGGUUUAAUUCGAUGCAACGCGAAGAACCUUACCUGGUCUUGACAUCCACAGAACUUGCCAGAGAUGGCUUGGUGCCUUCGGGAACUGUGAGACAGGUGCUGCAUGGCUGUCGUCAGCUCGUGUUGUGAAAUGUUGGGUUAAGUCCCGCAACGAGCGCAACCCUUAUCCUUUGUUGCCAG